rnacentral:rRNA from 1 species
AACGAACGCUUGCGGCAGGCCUAACACAUGCAAGUCGAGCGCCCGGAUUUAUCCGGGAGCGGCGCACGGGUGAGUAACACGUGGGAACAUGCCCUGAAGUACGGAACAACCGAGGGAAACUUUGGCUAAUACCGUAUACGCCCUGAGGGGGAAAGAUUUUAUCGCUUCAGGAUUUGCCCGCGUUGGAUUAGCUAGUUGGUGCGGUAACGGCGCACCAAGGGGACGAUCCAUAGCUGAUCUGAGAGGAUGAUGAGCCACACUGGGACUGAGACCCUGCCCAGACUCCUACGGGAGGCAGCAGUGGGGAAUAUUGGACAAUGGGCGCAAGCCUGAUCCAGCCAUGCCGCGUGAGUGAAGAAGGCCUUCGGGUUGUAAAGCUCUUUCAGCGGGGACGAUGAUGACGGUACCCGCAGAAGAAGCCCCGGCUAACUUCGUGCCAGAAGCCGCGGUAAGAC